UACGGGGGGGGCAAGCGUUGUUCGGAAUUACUGGGCGUAAAGGGCGCGUAGGCGGUCGGAUAAGUCAGCUGUGAAAACCACGGGCUUAACUCGUGGCCUGCAGUUGAAACUGUCUGGCUAGAGUGUGGGAGAGGGAAGUGGAAUUCCUGGUGUAGCGGUGAAAUGCGUAGAUAUCAGGAGGAACACCGGUGGCGAAGGCGGCUUCCUGGACCACAACUGACGCUGAGGCGCGAAAGCUAGGGUAGCAAAC
rnacentral:rRNA from 1 species